rnacentral:rRNA from 1 species
GACGAACGCCGGCGGCGUGCUUAACACAUGCAAGUCGAACGGAAAGGCCCUGCUUUUGUGGGGUGCUCGAGUGGCGAACGGGUGAGUAACGCGUGAGUAACCUGCCCUUGACUUUGGGAUAACUUCAGGAAACUGGGGCUAAUACCGGAUAGGAGCUCCUGCUGCAUGGUGGGGGUUGGAAAGUUUCGGCGGUUGGGGAUGGACUCGCGGCUUAUCAGCUUGUUGGUGGGGUAGUGGCUUACCAAGGCUUUGACGGGUAGCCGGCCUGAGAGGGUGACCGGCCACAUUGGGACUGAGAUACGGCCCAGACUCCUACGGGAGGCAGCAGUGGGGAAUAUUGCACAAUGGGCGGAAGCCUGAUGCAGCAACGCCGCGUGCGGGAUGACGGCCUUCGGGUUGUAAACCGCUUUCGCCUGUGACGAAGCGUGAGUGACGGUAAUGGGUAAAGAAGCACCGGCUAACUACGUG